rnacentral:rRNA from 1 species
CGAGAGAAGGUGCGCGGCGAAUGCCUAGGGACAAGUUGCCGACGAAGGACGCGUAAGCGGCGAAACGCUCCGGGGAGCAGCACAAAUGCUUUGAUCCGGAGAUUUCCGAAUGGGGAAACCCACCAAGGGUAAUGCCUUGGUACCCACUCCUGAACACAUAGGGAGUGUGGAGGGCACCGGGUGAACUGAAACAUCUAAGUAACCCGUGGAAAAGAAAUCGAAGAGACUCCGUCAGUAGCGGCGAGCGAACACGGACCAGCCUAAACCAGCCGGCAUGCCGGUUGGGGUUGUGGGGCCUCUAACUUAACCUCCCUGAGAGAGCCAUCCGGUUCUUUCAGCGAGGUUGAGAAAAGGAGACUAGAGAGAGAUAAAAGAACAGAUUGGAAAGUCUGGCCAUAGAGGGUGACAGCCCCGUAUUCUAAAUCAAACUCAGAUUCAAGAGGUACCCGAGUAGCGCGGAUCACGAGGAAAUCCGCGUGAAUCUGCCCGGACCACCGGGUAAGGCUAAGUACGACUUGUCACCGAUAGUGCAUCCAGUACCGUGAGGGAAAGGUGAA